rnacentral:misc_RNA from 1 species
UGUUAUAUGGUAACGAAUGAGCAGAUUAAGUAGGCUGGCUUUUGUGAUGUCAUGCCGGAUUGACUGGAAAUGGUUAGUCCGUGCUCAGAUUUGUUUGGAGCAACACAUACAUUUUUUCGAAAUUAAAGCCUAAAUAGUAGAAAAAAAGUCUCUGUCUCUGUUCCUCAAUCCGGAAUAAGAAUCGUCGAAACGCAAUAAUAUAUUUGUGAAUCAUUAAAUAUGCAAAUCGUCAUUCUACAAAGGCACAUUAGCUAUAUAAUAAUAUUGGUAAUGCUCGAAUUAUUAAAGCAAAUACUGUCGAUGAAACGAGAUUUAUCAAACAUUUACGUUCAGAAGCUAGAUGACGCCCGUAAAACUAAAGAAGAACUAGAAGUAGUCAGGAAAUCAUCAUAACCAUACCAGUAUAUAUGUAUGUACAUAUGUACAUAUUUAUGCAUGUAUAUUAUUCAAGUAACAAUCCAGAUACUCACGAGUAAUUAUAAUUACUAAAAAUAAUCCAAAAAGUGUACCCCAAACAUCCCCCACCCGCACAGUCUAAGAAGGAAAAGGAUAUUUUAGGUAAAAAAAAUGUGUGGCCUUAAUGUGAUACUGCCCGAAGACGUCGCCAAAAUAGCUAAAGGCGCGUAAUUGACUGAUUGACUUCAUUUUAACGAGAUUAAACAGCAAGUUCUCGAAACUGACGUCUAGACCGUGAGGAAAAUCCCUUUGGUUCCCAACCGAGUCAGUGCAACUGGGAAGCUUUUUAAAAGUUGCAGUUCUCCGGAAAUUACGCAUUUUAGAUUUAAAGCAAAUUUAAUUUCAUUUGAACGCGCAAUUAAAUGAAAAGUGGAGGUCAGCGACAGGGGCAACGACAGGCGACGGAGAACCUGAAGUCUAAAACGUUUAAGCUACUUAGAGUCACUUUGCUUUCCAGUGGCAUUAAACACAAAUAAAUAGUUACAAAGUGCAGUCGUGUAGAUGAAGAUGCGGUCACCGUCGAGACACCGUCAGACAUAGCAGACCCAAACUCCUCAGAGUAAAGCCACCGGCAAAGAGACUGGAAAUUGCAGCAGUGUUCACACCUUGCGGCACGUAGUCGCUGCCUUAGCGCCACUUCAUUUGACCUGUCACUUUAAACGCCUUUAAAUAUGCGAUGGAGUAACAGUAAAGUUGACUAGCUUGCACCACUUUAUGGCUCGCUUUCCAUUAUAUGUCGCGGUUGUUAGCAAUGAUGUUUUUCCUUUGCGCCUGCUUAACUUUAAAGAAACCGCCUGAGACACUAUUGUCUAAUUACCCCAGGACCAACACAGCGGCGCAGGCAGGCAACCGGCAACCGUCGUCUAUAAAGAGCUGUCUUCCGUCACAAACGGGCUGGAUUCAGGCACGGGCGCGGGCGCUGCCUCGAAAAGCACUCAAAGUUUAUUUAAUUAUCUUUGUCAUUGGCAUUUGCAUUUGCAUUUGGAAAUGGGUGCUGCCAGCUUUAAAAAAUAUUUGCCGAACGCAGGAUACACGGAUACGAAUACGAGUACGAACUUGCAAGUCCAUAAGAUAGGGACAGCGCCAACGCUGAGUGGUGAGAGGGAGACAGUGACAGUGACCCAUGGCAGUAGCAGUAGACGACUGAGUGCCGAUGAAAUUAUGAGUCUGGGGCUCGGAGUGGGGCUGGCGGCCGGAUUUAAUUAAUCAAGAACGAGCACUAAGCAUUUUUCAUCAGCUUUGUAAUUACAAUUAGAAUGAAGAAGAUCAACAAAAAAUAAGCACAUAAUAAGAAAAAGAAUAAAUUGUGAUAUAAAAAAGUAUGGGAUUGGAUGGGAUGGAAUGCAAUAGAUGAAAACAAAAAAACGGCUUUACGAUUUUGUGUUCACUACGAUGAUUCCUUACUUGUCCUUUUUUUUACGACUUGAACAUAUGUACAUACACACAUACUAUACAUACAUAUGUCAA